rnacentral:lncRNA from 1 species
UUACAUAAAACAUAUCUUUAUAGAGAAAAAUCACAAUGUCUUUUUCCAAAUUUGCUAUCUUUGUUGUCGUCCUUGUUUCUCUAGCUAGCCUUCAUGAAUGUAUGUUAUAUGUUUUGUUUUAUUUUUUUAUUGUUUAUCAUCAUUACCACCUUUAUACUCACAAUUAAAUACUCCAUAAUCUUUUCUAAUGAUUUUUUUUUUAAAUAUAUAUAGGUAAUUUCUUUAAAGACCUUACCAAACCACCUAUAAAAGAUCCAUGCUAUCCAGCAAAACUUGGGGGAUAUUGCUGCCGAGAUCUUGUUAAGGAUGUGUAUCCCUGCUACGACACCUUAGCACAAUGUAGGAAAGAUGUUAACAUAAAUAAUUGCAAUCCUUAUGCAAAGAAGAACUAAGUAUUUAUAUGUACCAAAUAAUUUCAUGCAUUUACUCAUAACUCAAGUUGUAAAAUUUAAUCUGAAUUCACCAUAUACAAUUAUGUAAUGCUAACUAAUAAAAAUUAUUUGACUUUUUUUU